CCUACGGGUGGCUGCAGUGGGGAAUAUUGGACAAUGGGCGAAAGCCUGAUCCAGCCAUGCCGCGUGUGUGAAGAAGGUCUUCGGAUUGUAAAGCUCUUUAAGUUGGGAGGAAGGGGAGUAAGCUAAUACCUUGCUGUUUUGUCGUUACCGACCGAAUACGCACCGGCUACCUGCGUGCCAGCAGCCGCGGUAAUACGAAGGGUGCAAGCGUUAUUCGGAAUUACUGGGGGUAAAGCGCGCGUAGGGGGUUGGUUGCGUUGGAUGUGGAAGCCCCGGGCUCAACCCGGGAACUGCGGUGGGUACGGGCAGACUAGAGUACAGUAGAGGGUAGUGGAAUUUCUGGUGUAGCGGUGAAAUGCGUAGAUAUAGGAAGGAACACCGGUGGCGAAGGCAGGCAUCUGGGCUGUAACUGACGCUGAGGUGCGAAAGCGUGGGGAGCGAACAGGAUUAGAUACCCCUCUAGUC
rnacentral:rRNA from 1 species